rnacentral:rRNA from 1 species
UACGUAGGGGGCAAGCGUUGUCCGGAUUUAUUGGGCGUAAAGAGCUCGUAGGUGGUUCGGUAAGUCGGAUGUGAAAUCUCCAGGCUCAACCUGGAGGGGUCAUUCGAUACUGCCGUGACUAGAGUUCGAUAGGGGAGUGUGGAAUUCCUGGUGGAGCGGUGAAAUGCGCAGAUAUCAGGAGGAACACCCGUAGCGAAGGCGGCACUCUGGGCCGAUACUGACACUGAGGAGCGAAAGCGUGGGGAGCGAACAGG